ACGAACGCUGGCGGCGUGCCUAAUACAUGCAAGUCGAACGGUCUUUUCUAUGGAAGCUUGCUUCCACUGAGAAGAUGGUGGCGAACGGGUGAGUAACACGUGGGUAACCUGCCCAUAAGAGGGGGAUAACAUCCGGAAACGGGUGCUAAUACCGCAUAGUUUUCUUGAUCGCAUGAUUGAGAAAGGAAAGACGGCCUUUGUGCUGUCGCUUAUGGAUGGACCCGCGGCGUAUUAGUUAGUUGGUGAGGUAACGGCUCACCAAGACGAUGAUACGUAGCCGACCUGAGAGGGUGAUCGGCCACAUUGGGACUGAGACACGGCCCAAACUCCUACGGGAGGCAGCAGUAGGGAAUCUUCCGCAAUGGACGAAAGUCUGACGGAGCAACGCCGCGUGAGUGAAGAAAGGUUUUCGGAUCGUAAAACUCUGUUGUCAGAGAAGAACAAGUUGGAGAGUAACUGCUCCAGCCUUGACGGUAUCUGACCAGAAAGCCACGGCUAACUACGUGCCAGCCGCAGC
rnacentral:rRNA from 1 species